UACAGAGGUCUCAAGCGUUGUUCGGAUUCAUUGGGCGUAAAGGGUGCGUAGGCGGCGCGGUAAGUCGGGUGUGAAAUCUCGGAGCUUAACUCCGAAACUGCAUUCGAUACUGCCGUGCUUGAGGACUGGAGAGGAGAGUGGAAUUCCUGGUGUAGCGGUGGAAUGCGCAGAUAUCAGGAAGAACACCCGUGGCGAAGGCGGCUCUCUGGAACGCAACUGACGCUGAGACGCGAAAGCGUGGGGAGCAAACAGG
rnacentral:rRNA from 1 species